GUGGGGAAUAUUGGACAAUGGGCGAAAGCCUGAUCCAGUCAUGCCGCGUGUGUGAAGAAGGUCUUCGGAUUGUAAAGCACUUUAAGUUGGGAGGAAGGGCAGUAAGUUAAUACCUUGCUGUUUUGACGUUACCGACAGAAUAAGCACCGGCUAACUUCGUGCCAGCAGCCGCGGUAAUACGAAGGGUGCAAGCGUUAAUCGGAAUUACUGGGCGUAAAGCGCGCGUAGGUGGUUUUGUAAGUUGGAGGUGAAAUCCCCGGGCUCAACCUGGGAACUGCCUCCAAAACUGCAUGACUAGAGUACGGUAGAGGGUAGUGGAAUUUCCUGUGUAGCGGUGAAAUGCGUAGAUAUAGGAAGGAACACCAGUGGCGAAGGCGACUACCUGGACUGAUACUGACACUGAGGUGCGAAAGCGUGGGGAGCAAACAGGAUUAGAAACCCUAGUAGUCC
rnacentral:rRNA from 1 species